rnacentral:rRNA from 1 species
GAUGAACGCUGGCGGCGUGCCUAAUACAUGCAAGUCGAGCGAACGGACUAGAAGCUUGCUUCUCUGAUGUUAGCGGCGGACGGGUGAGUAACACGUGGAUAACCUACCUAUAAGACUGGGAUAACUUCGGGAAACCGUAGCUAAUACCGGAUAAUAUUUUGAACCGCAUGGUUCAAAAGUGAAAGACGGUCUUGCUGUCACUUAUAGAUGGAUGCGCGCUGCAUUAGCUAGUUGGUAAGGUAACGGCUUACCAAGGCAACGAUGCAUAGCCGACCUGAGAGGGUGAUCGGCCACACUGGAACUGAGACACGGUCCAGACUCCUACGGGAGGCAGCAGUAGGGAAUCUUCCGCAAAGGGCGAAAGCCUGACGGAGCAACGCCGCGUGAGUGAUGAAGGUCUUCGGAUCGUAAAACUCUGUUAUUAGGGAAGAACAUAUGUGUAAGUAACUGUGCACAUCUUGACGGUACCUAAUCAGAAAGCCACGGCUAACUACGUG